rnacentral:rRNA from 1 species
GAUGAACGCUGGCGGCGUGCCUCAAACAUGCAAGUCGAGCGGGGCUAUGUAAUACCGCAAGGUAGAACAUAGCCUAGCGGCGAACGGGUGAGUAACACGUGGGUAACCUGCCUGGAAGACAGGGAUAACGAUUCGAAAGGGUCGCUAAUACCUGAUAAUAUCCUUUCAUCGCAUGGUGAUAGGAAGAAAGGGGAAACCCGCUUUCAGAUGGGCCCGCGUCCCAUCAGCUAGUUGGUAAGGUAAAGGCUUACCAAGGCGACGACGGGUAGCCGGUCUGAGAGGAUGUACGGCCACACUGGGACUGAGAUACGGCCCAGACUCCUACGGGAGGCAGCAGUUGGGAAUCUUAGGCAAUGGACGAAAGUCUGACCUAGCGACGCCGCGUGAGGGAAGAAGGCCUUCGGUUGUAAGCCUGUCUUAUGGAAGAAGUCAGUGACGGUACCACUAGGAGGAAGCCGACGGCGUAACUAACCGUG